AGUGAACGCUGGCGGUAGGCCUAACACAUGCAAGUCGAACGGCAGCACAGUAAGAGCUUGCUCUUACGGGUGGCGAGUGGCGGACGGGUGAGGAAUACAUCGGAAUCUACUUUUUCGUGGGGGAUAACGUAGGGAAACUUACGCUAAUACCGCAUACGACCUACGGGUGAAAGCAGGGGAUCUUCGGACCUUGCGCGAUUGAAUGAGCCGAUGUCGGAUUAGCUAGUUGGCGGGGUAAAGGCCCACCAAGGCGACGAUACGUAGCUGGUCUGAGAGGAUGAUCAGCCACACUGGAACUUGGACACGGUCCAUAGUCCUACGGGAGGCAGCAGUGGGGAAUAUGGGACAAUGGGCGCAAGCCUGAUCCAGCCAUACCGCGUGGGUGAAGAAGGCCUUCGGGUUGUAAAGCCCUUUUGUUGGGAAAGAAAAGCAUCAGGUUAAUACCCCGCUGUUCUGACGGUACCCAAAGAAUAAGCACCGGCUAACUUCGUG
rnacentral:rRNA from 1 species